rnacentral:rRNA from 1 species
AUGAACGCUGGCGGCGUGCCUAAUACAUGCAAGUCGAGCGAACAGACGAGGAGCUUGCUCCUCUGAUGUUAGCGGCGGACGGGUGAGUAACACGUGGAUAACCUACCUAUAAGACUGGGAUAACUUCGGGAAACCGGAGCUAAUACCGGAUAACAUGUUGAACCGCAUGGUUCAACAGUGAAAGACGGUCUUGCUGUCACUUAUAGAUGGAUCCGCGCCGCAUUAGCUAGUUGGUAAGGUAACGGCUUACCAAGGCAACGAUGCGUAGCCGACCUGAGAGGGUGAUCGGCCACACUGGAACUGGGACACGGUCCAGACUCCUACGGGAGGCAGCAGUAGGGAAUCUUCCGCAAUGGGCGAAAGCCUGACGGAGCAACGCCGCGUGAGUGAAGAAGGUCUUCGGAUCGUAAAACUCUGUUAUUAGGGAAGAACAAAUGUGUAAGUAACUAUGCACGUCUUGACGGUACCUAAUCAGAAAGCCACGGCUAACUACGUG